rnacentral:rRNA from 1 species
UAUGGUACCGUCAACUGGGUACACGUACUCAGGUUUCUUCCCAUAUAAAAGAAGUUUACAACUACUAGAGCCUUCAUCCUUCACGCGGGAUGGCUGGUUCAGGCUUGCGCCCAUUGACCAAUAUUCCUCACUGCUGCCUCCCGUAGGAGUA